rnacentral:rRNA from 1 species
CCUACGGGAGGCAGCAGUGAGGAAUAUUGGUCAAUGGACGAGAGUCUGAACCAGCCAAGUAGCGUGAAGGAGGACUGCCCGAUGGGUUGUAAACUUCUUGUAUAGGGGAAUAAAAUGUGCCACGUGUGGGAUUUUGUAUGUACCAUAUGAAUAAGGAGCGGCUAACUCCGUGCCAGCAGCCGCGGUAAUACGGAGGAUCCGAGCGUUAUCCGGAUUUAUUGGGUUUAAAGGGAGCGUAGGGGGAUUGUUAAGUCAGUUGGGAAAGUUUGCGGCUCAACCGUAAAAUUGCAGUUGAAACGGGCAGUCUUUCUUACCGUAGAGGUGGGCGGCAUUCGUGGUGUAGCUG